CCUACGGGAGGCAGCAGUGGGGAAUAUUGGGCAAUGGGCGCAAGCCUGACCCAGCAACGCCGCGUGAAGGAAGAAGGCUUUCGGGUUGUAAACUUCUUUUAUGAGGGACGAAAGAAAUGACGGUACCUCAUGUAUAAGCCACGGCUAACUACGUGCCAGCAGCCGCGGUAAUACGUAGGUGGCAAGCGGUAACCGGAUUUACUGGGUGUAAAGGGCGUGUUGGCGGGACUGCAAGUCAGAUGUGAAAAUUAUGGGCUCAAACCAUAACCUGCAUUUGAUACUGUAGUUCUAGAGUGAUGGAGAGGUAGGCGGAAUUCCAUGUGUAGCGGUGAAAUGCGUAGAUAUACGGAAGAACACCAGUGGCGAAGGCGGCCUACUGGACAUUAACUGACGCUGAGGCGCGAAAGCGUGGGGAGCAAACAGGAUUAGAUACCCCAGUAGUC
rnacentral:rRNA from 1 species